CCCGCGCCCGCCCGCCGGCCGCGUGCUGCAGCCGCCGCGGCCCGGGCGGGGCCAGGGGUGGGGGUGGGUUCGCUGGUUUGGAGGGUGGGUGGGGUUGGCUGUUUCUGGAAAGCUCAGCGGAGCUAAUCUAAUCUUCCAAGGCGCGUCCGCUGCCCGAGAGCAGCGCUCACAGUCCGCAGCGCCGGGAGGGCUCCGCGGCCUCCCCCUCCCGGCUCAGUAGAUCCAGAUCGUGUGAGUCUCUUUUAUUCCCGUUUUGCACGUGAGGCCACGGAGGCCGGGAUAGACCAGGAUCGCACACGUCUUGGGGGCCUACUCCGGACUCAAACCUACGUCUCUGUGACUCCAAAACUCAUAUUAUACUAUGACCUAGUAUUUGCUGGUGUAAGACGAAUGGUUCCGUUUUAGCGCAGAUGCAAGCGCCACCUUAUUUGGAGGACAGGCAGGUAGAUCUGCAGCUGUAAAACCCGAGGCCCCGAGGCGGGCUUGCACAGCUCCCCUGGCUCUCCGUCCACGUCCACGUCUCUGCUGUCCACUGCUCCUAGAGCACCUUUCGACUCUUGAAAACAGGAACUGCCAGUUAAAAAGAAUACUACCUAUUUUAUUGAGCCUGAAGGGUUGAGGACAUCACAGACCAGAGGACAAGGCCCGGAGGGAUGGGACUUUGUCUGCUGCCCUCUCACAUCCCGACUGGUACACCUCAGUGAACAAUUUGUAAUGGACACAGUGAAUACAGCAAGGCCCUACUGCAAACCCGAGGACGCAAAGCCUCUGAGAACCUCUCAGACACGGAAGGGGCCACGAGGCUU
rnacentral:lncRNA from 9 species